GUAGGUGGCGAGCGUUGUCCGGAUUUACUGGGCGUAAAGCGCGCGCAGGCGGGCUGAUAAGUCCGGGGUGAAAUCUCACGGCUCAACUGUGAGUGGUCCCCGGAUACUGUUCGUCUUGAGGGGUCUAGAGGAGAGCGGAAUUCCCGGUGUAGUGGUGGAAUGCGUAGAUAUCGGGAAGAACACCAGUGGCGAAAGCGGCUCUCUGGGGAUUACCUGACGCUGAGGCGCGAAAGCGUGGGGAGCAAACAGGAUUAGAUACCCUGGUAGUCCACGCCGUAAACUAUGGGUGCUAGCCGUUGGGAAGCUUGCUUUUCAGUGGCGCAGCUAACGCAUUAAGCACCCCGCCUGGGGAGUACGGUCGCAAGAUUA
rnacentral:rRNA from 1 species